rnacentral:rRNA from 1 species
AUUGAACGCUGGCGGCAUGCCUUACACAUGCAAGUCGAACGGCAGCACGGGAGCAAUCCUGGUGGCGAGUGGCGAACGGGUGAGUAAAGUAUCGGAACGUGUCCAGUCGUGGGGGAUAACGUAGCGAAAGUUACGCUAAUACCGCAUACGAUCUAUGGAUGAAAGCGGGGGAUCGCAAGACCCCGCGCGAUUGGAGCGGCCGAUAUCAGAUUAGGUAGUUGGUGGGGUAAAGGCUCACCAAGCCGACGAUCUGUAGCUGGUCUGAGAGGACGACCAGCCACACUGGGACUGAGACACGGCCCAGACUCCUACGGGAGGCAGCAGUGGGGAAUUUUGGACAAUGGGCGAAAGCCUGAUCCAGCCAUGCCGCGUGCAGGAUGAAGGCCUUCGGGUUGUAAACUGCUUUUGUACGGAACGAAAAGGUUUGGUCUAAUAAGCUGAACUCAUGACGGUACCGUAAGAAUAAGCACCGGCUAACUACGUGCCAGCCGCCGCGGUAA